AAGUUUUUGUAGAUGCACCAAACUUUGAGCAAGGGGAGUCGAAAAGAGAUAUGCCAGUUGAUUACACCACCGUAUAUUCAAAGUCUUAAGACUUUGGAGGUUAACAAGAUGGAUGGGCCCUUUCCAUAUCCACUUCAAUUCUGAUAAUGACUCUAGCUUCAAAGAAGUUAGAUUAGAGAGUAGCUGUACCUGACAUGAAUUCAUUGAUUGAAAACGCAAAUAAAUAUGGAUAAAACGUUACAUACAAAGGCAAUAAUAGUAGUUAUUGAAUAAUAUAUAAUUUAAUAAAGAAUAAAACAAAAGAGAAAAAAAUACAAUGAUUUUAUAAAGUGUACUAAUAAAGAGAAAAAAAAUAUAUAUAUAUAAUGUUAGUUUUCUCAACUUGCAAGUCAUGUAAUAAAUAUACAUUUAGAUUAAUUACUAAUAUAAUUUAAUUAAACUUUAUCUCUUCUAAUCUUCAAUAGAAGUUAAUUAUAUGAGCAAUAUAUAAAGUUUAGCAAUUUCUCAUUAUCCAUUAAAGGAAAAAUGGAGAGAAAACAGAUACCUCAAGCUCUCCCACUUCUUGGGGAAAAUCAAAGACUUGUUCUAAUCUAUUGCACCAAGAUAUUUCAAGUUCUUGUAGAUGCACCAAACUUUGAGCAAGGGGAGUCGAAAAGAGAUAUGCCAGUUGCAUACACCACCGUAUAUUCAAAGUCUUAAGACUUUGGAGGUUAACAAGAUGGAUGGGCCCUUUCCAUAUCCACUUCAAUUCUGAUAAUGACUCUAGCUUCAAAGAAGUUAGAUUAGAGAGUAGCUGUACCUGACAUGAAUUCAUUGAUUGAAAACGCAAAUAAAUAUGGAUAAAACGUUACAUACAAAGGCAAUAAUAGUAGUUAUUGAAUAAUAU
rnacentral:lncRNA from 1 species